AUCCUGGAAAAAUCUCCCCAAGGGCGUGUAUACAGGGAUCACAAGCUUCUGUCAACCAAGAACACAUCGUUGUUGGAUUAUUGCACUUUUAAUCUGUCUUUUCUCAAUUAUAAAUCCGAGCAAAACUUUAAUAAAGUUGUGACUUGUUUGACAGAACUUGCCACUGUUUUAAAGACAUUUUCAAUCCCACUGAAAUGAAAAAUAAUCCUCUUCUUCUGCUGCACAAUAAUGAAGAUUUCUUUAACAAAUUCCCCAAAUUAUAAAUUAUUAUUGCUUUUUUUUUGGGCCAGAGAUAACCAGGAAGAGACGUAUCUCCUUGCUUGUCUUCAUCAUCAAAAACGACAAGAUAGAUGUGUCACUUCCGGCUGCCAUGUUUGUUUGGUUCAACUGUAACAGAUAUGUGAUGUGGCCCACACCCUUUCUGUGAUGUGGUCCUCAUCUGGCUCUGUCGUGUCUUGACAGAGUUCUAGGCUGGCCACAUUCAGGUUGAGUCAUCGGCAUGAUUCUGCACGGUAUCUGGGCCUGAAGGAAGUGACAGAUGUGGGCUCCAGUUACAUGCUGUCUGUGUUCCUUGUAAAUCCACGUCUGUAUAUUCUGAACCCGACCGUCGAUAAAACCUGCUAAAUCAUUUUACUUGAUCGUGUAAUUGUUCAGUAGUGUUUUUGUAAGUUAAGUCUCAGUGUCUGCCAUAGUUUCUCCCAUCACUGAGCCACACAUUGACCUUAAAGAACCCUGGUAUGGGUCAGUGGAGAGUUCCCAUGAUGUCCAUGAUGGCCUAAAA